GACGAACGCUGGCGGCGUGCUUAACACAUGCAAGUCGAACGAAGUGGCGAACGGGUGAGUAACGCGUAAUCAACCUGCCCUUCAGAGGGGGACACCAGUUGGAAACGACCGCUAAUACCGCAUACUGAAGGUGUGUAUUGCGUCUGAUUGGCUAGCUGGAGGGGUAACGGCCCACCAAGGCGAUGAUCAGUAACCGGUCUGGGAGGAUGAACGGCUACAUUGGGACUGAGAAACGGCCCAGACUCCGACGGGAGGCAGCAGUGGGGGAUCUUCCGCAAUGGACGGAAGUCUGACGGAGGAAAGCCGCGGGAGAGAUGACGGCCUUCGGGUUGUAAAGCUAUGUGAAUCGGGACGCGGUACCGGAAUAGAAAGCCACGGCUAACUACGUGCCAGCAGCCGCGGUAAUUC
rnacentral:rRNA from 1 species